AACGCACCUUGCGCCCCUUGGCCAUUCCGAGGGGCAUGCCUGUUUGAGUAUCAUGAACACCUCAACUCUCAUGGUUUGCCAUGAUGAGAUUGGACUUUGGGGGUUUUGCUGGCCAUGCGGUUGGCUCCUCUCAAAUAAAUCAGCUUGCCAGUGUUUGGUGGCGUCACGGGUGUGAUAACUGUCUACGCUUGUGGUCGUCUGCCAGGGUGACCUUCAGUGAUGAAGGCUUGCUGGAGCUUCCAAAUGUCUCUCCUGAGCGAAGACAGCUUUUUGAUCGUUCGAUCUCAAAUCAGGUAGGACUACCCGCUGAACUUAA
rnacentral:misc_RNA from 1 species